AAGUCGUAACAAGGUUUCCGUUAGGAUUGAACCUUGCGGAAGAAUCAUUACCGUGGGGAUUCGUCCCCAUUCGAGAUAGCAACCCUUUGUUCAUGAGUACCCUUGUUUCCUCGGCGGGGCCUGCCCAGCCAGUAGGACAAUAUCAAAACCCUUUUGCAGUAGUAGUAACUUCAGUUAAUAAAACAAAUAUUAAAA
rnacentral:misc_RNA from 1 species